rnacentral:misc_RNA from 1 species
AUUAUAAUCCAGAGAUGUCAUUUGUCAUGUUUAGGUCAGGAAAUGUGGAAGAUGGUAGUCUUCAGAUGGAUGAAAAUCAAACAAAUCAGAAAGAGCAGUUGCAACAAUUGGUGGAUGAAAGGGUGAAGGAGAUAAAGUUAAUUGCACAGAAGUUGCGUCCUGUCUGAACUAGUUUGGAAGACAUUCUAGUGGAAAUGGCCUAUGGUAUGUUGAAUUGUUGAUGCAUCUUCAAAAGAUGUUAAUGAUGAGGCCCUCGAGAUGCUCUAGGUUUAGUGAUUGAGUUGUACCUUCCAUUUCUGAUUAAGGUUUACUGUAGAAUAGCUACAGAUGACUGACCUUUUUUAUUUUUUUCCUAUAAAUCAAAGUAAUCAUCUAAAGGAUUUGAAAAUGUCAUAUUCUACUUUCUACUCUGGCCAUUUUUCCUUUAUCAGCUAGAAAGUCUGUAAAUUGAGGUGCAGCGUUCCGACCAUAAAAGAAUGUUCUUAUUUGCAUCGCAUAAAACCUGCUUCUGCAAGA